rnacentral:piRNA from 1 species
UGCUCUCUAACAUCAGCAACUGUCUCA